UCAUAUAUACUUUAUAUCAACGAUGUCGGUAAAAGAGUGCGGCAAUCACGGGAAAUACCGCCGGAAAAUCUUCCUGCGAAUCAUCGCCGGCAUCCUAAUCUUCAUUAUAAUCGUUCUGAUAACAAUUCUUCUCAUAUGGGCCAUCCUCCGUCCCAGCAAACCCAGGUUCAUCCUCCAAGACACCACCGUCUACGCUUUCAACGCCUCCACCCCUAACCUCCUCACCUCCAAUUUCCAAGUCACUCUAUCUUCUCGAAACCCCAACGACAGAAUCGGCAUUUACUACGACCGGCUCGACGUUUACGCCACCUACCAGAACCAACAAAUCACCCUCCGAACAUCCAUCCCUCCAACGUACCAGGGUCACAAAGAGAUCAACGUUUGGUCACCCUUCGUCAAUGGGAAUUCAGUGCCUAUCGCACCGGAAUAUUCCGCCAGUUUAGGAUCCGAUCAGAGUGCCGGGUCGGUUUUCUUGAUGAUCAAGAUUGAUGGACGGGUGAGAUGGAAAGUUGGGACUUUUAUUUCCGGGAGGUAUCAUCUUUACGUUAGGUGCCCGGCUUUUAUUACCUUCGGCAGCAAAAGUAACGGCGUUUCGGUCGGAGAAAACGCCAUUAAGUACCAGUUGGUGACUAGAUGCAGUGUUAGCGUGUAAGGUGGCUAGCUGAGGAAGAAGAUGAUGAAAGAUAACGCCGUUAAGUAUAUCGUUUGUUUUACCUUGAUAUUAAGACAAUUUCCCUCGUUUGUUAUUUCACGCCGUUAAAUUUUUAUUUUUCUUUUUAUUUGGAGGAUAAAUUGUACAUUUUGCUCUAGAAUAAAAUGGAGGAAAAAAAUUAGCAAAAUUUACAAUUAAAUAUUUUAUUUUCUAAAAAAAAUUAAUAAUAAGAAAUAUUUUUCAAUGAAUAAUUGAGCAAUUAAUGAUUUGUUUUUCAAAUAUUGCUUUACUUGUUCUUUACUCUUCAUUUCUUGGAUCUUUAAAUUUUGAUUUUCUUUAAAAAAGGGGGAAUAUUUUCAACCUUAAUUAGGAUGUAAGUUAUAUUUAAUAAUAUAUAUCUUGAUUAUUGAUGUCUAUAGCUAUGAUUAAUGAUUAUUUAAUCAUACAUUAGUAAAAAAUAAUAUAUUUUAUAAAUUUCGCAUUAUUCUUUGCCUAUAUAUACAUUUUUAACUUGAAUUUAUUUUUUAUCUUUCGAAUUUAUUUUAUUUCAUUGUAAAAAAAGUUUAUAAUUAAAUUUAGGGUUAGUUUAGAUGAACGAUAUAUUUACCUACUAUUAAUGUAAAAAUAACAGUGACAAUGAAAUUAAUUACUAUAAUGAUACUAUAAUAUAAGAAAAAAUAAGCUAAAUGCACUGCACCAUUUUCCAAUGUACACCCAAACCUAACCUUAGUUAUCAAUUAAGGUAGUGGGAAGCUUUAAAGCAGAGCCUUCUUAUUUGUUGUUUGUCAUACAUCAGAAUUAAAUGUAUACUAUUUUUUUUCCUUUUCCUUUUUCUUUAUUUUUAACUCCAUAAUUUAACCCAAUCUUCAAUACUAAUUAUUAUAUUCACCUAAUUUAGGUUAAAAAUAUCGGCAUAAAUUAUAAAAUUAUACAUAAAUUUUAAUUUAAUAUAUAAUUUGAUAUAUGAAUUUUAAUUUGAUGUAAUUAUACAUAUGAAAUUUUAAUUAUGAUUUAAAUAUAUACAUGAAACUUUAAUUUUGAUUCAAUCAAGCACAUUAUAAAACAUAAAUACAUUAAUUUAUUUUUAUAUGUAAUAUAUAAAUAUAAAAUAAAGCUAUAUCAAUUUAACUUGAUAAAAGUUUUAACUUAAUUAUAAUCACACAUAUAUAUAUAUACUAACAAAUUAAAAAAUUAGUGAUAAAAAUGUUCCAAUUAAUGUAUGGAUAGAUGUAAUUAAACUCAAAAAGACUAAAAUUAUUUGAGAAUUUUGUGUGUUAGCAAUAUGUUUGAGCCAAUGAGGGGAUGGAAUGGGUCUUUGUCACAUGGAAUUGUAGUGGUGGUCCUUUUCUUUCAACACAAGCUCUCUCUACAUAAUAAUUUAAUUCACAUAUAUAUACACUUACGUGUUAGAAAGGGACUUUUGUAAAUGCCUACUCUCAAUAGAUUAUCAAUCCCUAGAGCUUUUAAAUUUAAUCAAAAUUUUCAUCCCACCCAACACAACAUGAUAAUAUUUUAUAUAUUAAUGAUGGGAAGGGAUAGUGUGAAUAUAUUCACAACUCAUUCCAAUGUAGGCAAUAAACCUUUUGUUCUUUUAACAACAUUUUCACACCCUUUUUCCUAUUUUGCUUGUGUUAAUUUGUCAAAUCCAUCAAAGCUACUUGUUAUAACCAUGUGAUUUCAUUAUUUUAGGGUUUGAUAAUAAAGAAAACUACAAGUUCUUACCUAUAAUUCAUUAAAUAAACCAUAAUUUCAAAAUAUAGUUAAAUUGAUGAGCAAAAUGUUUAAAUGUGUUUUAAGUCAUUCCUUUCCACUAGCUCGAUGUAGCAAAAGGGCUGUAAAUUGCGUUGACUACCCACCCCAUGGCCUGUUUAAACCAAAAGGAGGUGCUGGUUUCUAGUUUGCAUGUUGGUGGGAUAUGUGAUGUGAUGUGAUGCCCAUUUGUGCGGGUAAUUAGGCAUGUGUGAGCUGAGAUAAUGACGGAAUUCAAUUGUUUAAUUAAUGGCUAUAUAUAUAUAUAUAUUAUGGAAUCAAAGACCAAUUUCAUUUGAGAAUAUUUAAGGUGAAUCACAAAUUCACAUGGAGAUAGAGUUCAUGUUCAUGCAAAGUCAUUUUGCAGAGUUGGCAUCUCCUUGGAUAUUUGGAACAUCUCACCCUACUAGAUUCAUUGAAUCUUAAAUUACGUUUCGUAAUAAAAUUAUGAGAAUGUAAGAUUAUGAGUGAAAUAUGAUAUUAUUUUGUUUGAUUCAUUUGGUCGGAAUGUAAGAUCCAAAUGUUUAGUUGACGGAAUGCAAGAUUAUCUGAAAACAAAUUUUAUUAUAUUGUCUUUAUUAUAAAAUAUGAACCCAUUAAGCAAAUAACUAAGUCAACUACUAAGAGGAUGUUAAAGAGCAAAUUAGUCCACCAAAUUGUCAAUCGUUCUAUAAUCUUAAUAAUUGGAAAAAAGAAAACCUAAAAUCCUAUCAAUAAAAAAGGAAUUUGAUUCCAAGCUGUGAUUUCAGUUAAAUUUUCUAUCGAAACAUUAAUUUAAAUCACAAACAACAAAGCAAAUAGGGUUCAAACUUCAAUCUAUAAUAGUAAUAUUAAAUUAAUAAAAAAAGUGUUAGCAAUUGUUCUUGAUAAAAUAAAUGGCUCAACAAAAAAAAAUUGGGAUUUGAAAAUUGGAAAGUAAUUGAAACGUACAAAUGAUACAACAUAGAGGAAGAGAUGACAAUGGUGGCCAUUGUACAAGGUCUCCUCUUUCUAUCUUUCUCUCUAUAUACUCUCUUUAAUUAAUUAAAUAAGGAUUCAUAACAAUUGAGAGAACUUUCCUAAAAAAAUAAACAAACGAGAGAACACAUAACAAUCAACAAUACAAGAACUCAACAAACAUGAAAUCUAUAGCAUAUAUUGAAAAAUGAAAAAGAAAUCUCAAUGCAAUAAACCACAAAACAAUAUGAAGACACAACUAGAAAUUAAAAAUUUUAGACUUACCUAACUGGAGACGAGGGUGAAUGUCUAGGAAAGUGCGGAGUUAAAAUUAGAAAGAGAAUGUUAAAAGUUUUAAUUUUCAAACUUAUGAGAGAAAAAAAAAGAAAGAAAAAAGGAGAUAUUUUUAUUUUUGUCUUAAAAUAUAAUAAAAAGGAUUAUAUUGAUAAAUAUAAUAAAAAUAGAGGGUAAUUUUAUCUUAAAAUUCAGAUUUCGCCCGUAAUCUUAAAUUAUUUAAAGAAAAGACCGUAAUGAGAUUACAUCCUACAUUACAAAAAGAUUACAGGCCAUAAUGUUACAUUUAGUGAACCAAUGGUACUUUAAAAUUAGGUUGGAGGCUUGAAAUUUGACGUAAUUUGUAAAAGAAUAAAUAUAAUAUCUAGUAGUUGAUUUUGAUUUCAAGUUAGUAACUUAAAUUUUUUUGGUUUAAAUUAGCAUUCAAAUUUAAUUUUUGUCACACAAUUUAAUACUUUUUUUCAAAAAUUUAAACCACCUGAUGAAAUUAUUACAUGUCAUGUCAUUAGUUAAAUGUAUAUGUUAUGUCAACAAAUAUUUUUUUUAAAUAAAAAUUAUAAAAAAUCAAAGAAAAGAAUUUUUUUAAGAAAAUAUAUAAAAUUAAAAUUAUAAAAUAAAAAAUUAGCUAAUUUCUUUUUAAAAUUCAAAAUAUUUACUAUAAUGACAAACUAAACAUGUCUUUCAUAAAAUAUAUUUACUAGCAUGAAAUUAAAAAAAAUUCUUCAUAAAACAUAACAUUUGGAAAUUUGUCAUUAAUAAAUUUUGAAUAAGUAACACAAACAAAACGUCAAAUAAAACUCAAAAUAUCACUAAAAAGAUUUUUGAUCAACAACUUUUUGUUUGAUAAUUCUUAGUGCAAAAAAUUAACACAAUUUCAUGAUGUUUGUUACAAUAGUUAUAUAUAAAUUAUUGUAUGUAUAUAAAAAGAGUGAUAAAUUAUUGUGUUAUUCACGUUAAACCUAUUUUUGUACAAAAAUAACAUGUACCUUUUUAUGUAUUAUAAAUACAAUGAACCAAUUUGUCAUGAAUAAAACUAUAAAUAAUAAUGACAUAAUGAUAAAAUUUUCUUUAGUAAAAUUUUAUGUUGGUGACCAUGAAAAUUUGUCACGAACUUUUUCGACGUCAUAAAAUAGUUAUUUCAUUUAUGACAAAUUUUGAGCUUGUUGUAUAAGUUAUAGUUAAUCUUUUUGGGUUUGAACUUGGUAAUGGUUAUUAUAUAGAAGCCUGAAUUUUUUUUGUUUAAGUUAGUCUAUGAACUUGACAAUUAUUUUCAUAUUGGGUCUGAACUAUGAAAUUGUUCCCAUAUUGGGAUAGAACCUUUUUUUCCAAGUUAGUUGUUGAACUUGGCAAUUGUUUCCACAAUAAGGUUUGAACUUUUUUUUGUCCAAAUUUUUUCAUUCAGGCCCAAAUGUGGGAAUAAUUGCCAAGUUUAGGUAUCAACUUGAACCAUAAAAAAAGUUUAAGUCUCAAUGUCACACCUUAAAAUUGGGCUUGGAAGAAUUAAGGUUUGCAAGUGAGUCAUUGGUUGCCGAUAGAUUUUUAUGUUUUCUUUUGCGUUUGAGAGACAUGAAUGAGGAAAUAGCCCAAUGGUUAAAAGAAAUAUGAGAAAAUAUGGACGUUAAAUUAAGAUCCCAAGUUCGAAUCUUUUUCCUAAUGAAAUAAUUAAGUAUUUGCUUCAGUGGUUGAGAGCCUUGGAUUUGUGUUUGAGGUCUUGAGUUUGAGUCUCUACGAAACCUAUGAGAAAAUAUUUAAGUUGUCACAACCCAAAAUUGGGCUAGGAAGAAUUAAGGUUUGCAAAUGAGUCAUUGGUUGCUGAUAGGUUUUUUUUUUUUUUUAAUGUUUGAGAUAAGAAUGAGCCUGUUGGUUCGGUGGUAAGGUGUUUGUUAGCUUACCUUUUGAUCUUGUGUUUGAAUCCUCGUGUGCAUUAAAUGAGAAUUAUUUUUUUAUUUUUGGUUUCAACUCAUCAUAUUAGGAUUUUAGUUAAAUCUAUUUUAUUUAUAUAUAUAUAUUAGAAUGUGAAUCCCUAAAAUUCCUCCUAGUAACGUCCUUUCUCUCCCACUCUUUGGCUGACAGUUUUCUUUUCCCUUUGUCAUUAAAAUUCAUUUUUUCUGUUCUUUCUUUGUUUAUUCGUUCUUUUCAAAAUUUAUUCUUUUUUUUUGUCCAUUAAAGUGCCUCGAAAUCUAUUGGUUUGGUUCCAUUCCGUCAUUGUGCUCGAAUUUUGGUUACUGUUGCUUCGUUAUAAUUUUAGAUGUUUUUUCAUAUUAUUGUUCGACAACUUUUAUUAGGUGAGUGUAAGUUAUGGUAAGUUUUACAUUAGUCUUUUAGAUUCUUUUAGGUAUGAUUUCGAUCGAAAUCCUUAUAAGUUUUGUGUUCUAUUGUAUUAAGUUUUAGAUUGGUUUAGAGAAUGUGCUUUCUUGGUGUUUGAAAGAUCGUUUAAGGUGUGUUUCUUAAUCGUAUGUAAUUACCGAUCAGUUUGUUGUGGAAUCUCGUGAUUUGCAGCAAUUUUGGGUGCUACAUUUAGUGGUAUCAGAGCCAAGUUUGCCAAAAUUCGAUUUGUGUUUUUAAUGUGUAUGUAUGAUUGGAUUUAAAAGGGAGUUUUCGGUAAAAACAUACCACAGGUAAAAACAUACCACAUUGUUUCAAAAUUAUGGUUUUUCAAACAAAGUGUCUGAGACUCUAGUGUUAGUCUAUAAGAACAUUGAAACUGUAAGAUUAGAACUGUAAUGUUUUAGAUUAUUAUUAUCUCUAACUAUGUUGCCAUGGAAUUAUAGAUACCUUAAUAUAUUAGACUCAAGAACUGCUAUGGAUUCUGACAGUAAGCAAAAUUGUGAAAAUCAACUUAGUGGGACUUUAGAUGAGUCUUCUGCCUUGCCAGGGGGUGUGUUUGCACAUGAGCCAGAAGUCGUCGUAGCUACGCCAGCUACUGGUGACGAUAAUUCUGGGGUUGGUGUGGCCACAUUGACCCAAUCAGUGUUGGGAGUUCCGGAGAGGGUUUUCAAGACCAUGCUAAAGAGGUCCAAAGUGGAAGAAAAAGGUAAGUGUGCUGAGUGUAAGUGUAAGGGUUAUAAUAGGAGAGGUCAUAAUUCCUCUAGUUUGGAGCUAUGUUCUACAAAACGAGCCAGAUCUUAGAAAGGUACUGCGAGAGGUUCUAGUAGUGGCACAGACAUGUCGGUUUGUGGGUUCUGUAAGAAACACCAUUAGGGCGAGUGUCGAAAAAAGUUUGGAGCAUGUUUCAGAUAUGGGUCCACGGAGCAUCGGAUUAAAGAUUGCCCUCGUCGACCACCUGCUUAAGGCAAGCCUUAAAGAAGACUCGAAAUCAGGGAGCUAGAAUCAAUGUCAGGACAGGUAUGGUUGUAAGUUAUUGCGAUUUGUGUUUUGGUUUUGUUUGGUCUUCUAAUUAUGCUGAUGUUGUAACAGUCCAUUUUUAGCUAAAUCAGAACAGUAGUUUUGUAACCACAAGUCCGAAGUCGUAAUUUUUUUUAAAUAUUAUUUUAUGUGUUUACAGCAUGUGAAUUAAUAUGUGUGAAAGUUUCGUGAAAUAAUUUUAUCGUUUGCGUGCUUAAUUUGAUAAAGAGAACUAAAUCGCGUAAAGUGCAAAACUUGAGUUCUAUAAGUUAAAUGCACUAAAUGGCUAUAGAACCUUAAUAUAAGAGUACUUAGGUGGUAACUAUACCAUUUUUGUGUUAGUGGACAUUUAUGAGUUUGGUUUUAUAGAAAUUAUUAAAGUUUUUAAAGGGUAUAAAGGUAAAUAUGUAAUUAAGGUUAAAAUUAAUAAAACAAAAGUCAUUUUAUUUCAUUCAUUUUUUUUCUCCACCGAAAUUGAAGAAGAAAGAACACAUAUUGGGCUUUGAAGCAUUCAGUUCAAUCUCUAGCUUGCAUGCAAGUGAUUUUUGUUCUGUUUUCAAUAAUUUUUAUGUUUUUGAGAUUGUUGCUUUGUAUUCUAGCUAGCCCAUGCCUUAAUUUUUGGAUUGGUUGAUGAAUUUGAAAGUUGCCAUUGAUGAUAACUUAAUUUUUUUGUUGUUUGAUGAUGAAAAAUAAAUAUUUUAUGUUAGAUUAUCAUGUUUUACUAAGUGAUUGUUGAUAAAAAUGCUUAUUAAGGAUUAAAUUGUGAAAUUUAUAAAUUGAGGGGUUAAAAUGUGAAAUAAAUGGAAUUAAUGGGCUGCUAGGGACCUAAGGAAUAAUUGGCCAAACAUGGGUUAAAUGAAAUUUUGAGUAUUUUGUGUUCUUUUGAAAUAGGGACUAAAUUGUAAAAAUGUGAAAUUUUAGGAGUUAAAGUGCAAAAUUCCCAUUUAUGUGUUUUUGGAUAAAAUUGAAUGAAUAUGUCUUUAAAUAAGUUAAAUUUGAAUUGAUUUAGAUCAAGAAAUCAGAGUUAGAUCGGGAAAAGUCGAAAGUUGUCGAAUAGUCGUUCCGAUCCGUUCGUUUCUAAACGAGAUUAGUUCAUAUGUAAAUAAAUGUUUUUGAAUUUAAACGUAUAUGUUUUAUACAUUGCUGAAUUUGAAUGUUUUAUAUUGUAGCUAGACCUGUCCAUGGGUCGGGCCGGGCCCGAAAAAAAUUUCGGCCCGACUCUUAGGCCCGAGACCAGCCCGGCCCAAAAUAUGGGCCUGAAAUUUUGCCUAGGCCCAGCCUGGGGAAAAAAUAAUAAGCCCGAGCCCGGCCCGGCCCGAUUUUUAAUAAACAUAAAAAUAUUUUAAAAAAUAAAAAUAAAAAUAAAAGUAUUUUAAAAGUAUUUUAAAAUUAAAAUUAAAAUUAAAAAAUAAAAAUAAAAAUAUAUAUUUAUUAUAUUCGGGCCGGGCCCGGGCCAAAAAAGUUGAGCUUGAGCCCGGCCUAUUUUUUAAAUGGGUCUUGUUUUUUUGCCCAAGCCUAUAUUUCGGGCCUAUAUUUUUACCCGAACCCUCCCAUAUUUUGGGUGGGCCGUCGGGCCGGGCCGGGCCGCCCGGCCCAUGGACAGGUCUAAUUGUAGCGACCUAAAAAUUUGGCAAUGGGCGCUAGUCGAAGUAAUUAUUGAAAACUUGAAAAUCGAAUCUCGAUUUUAUUUGAAAAAGGAGUCGCCACCGAUCUUUUUUCUAGGUGUCAUCGGACACCUAAUAAAUUCUCUUUUUAGAAGAAAAAUUUAUUUUUAAAUUUUCCUAAAAAAGAGGUAAUUUUAGGCCUGAGUGAAAAUCCAGAGACAAUUAGAGUUCGGGAGUCGGUUACGCGCGAGGAAGGUAUUAGCACCCUCGCGACGCCCAAAAUUGGUAUCUCGUUAAACACGCGUUGUCUUUAUUUUCAAAAAUACGAGUUCAAUUUAAUAUUUACUCGCGAUCCGAUUGAAACAUAAGAAUUUUUUUAAAAAAAUAAUUUUUUUUAAAACAUGAAAAUUUGUGAAACACGAAAAUCGUUGAAAACACGCAAAUUUUUGAAAACACGAAAAUUUUUGAAACACGAAAAUUUAAAAAACAUGAAAAUUUUUAAAAACACGACAAUUUUUGAAACACGAGAACUUUUUUUUUAAAACAUACAAAUUUUUAAAACACGAAAAUUUGUGAAACACGAGAAUUGUUGAAAACAUGAAAUUUUUUAAAACACGGAAAUUUUUAGAAAACACGAAUUUUUUUUAAAAUCACCGGAAUUUUUGGGAACACGAAGAUUUUUGAAAACAUGAAGAUUUUUGAAACGCAAGAAUUUUUUGAAAACGCAAAAAAAAAUUUUAAAAUUGGAAUUUUCUAAAAACACGAGCAUUUUUGAAAUCAUGAAAAUUUUUGAAACACAUGAUUUUUUUUAAAAAACACGAAUUUUUCGAUUUUUUAUUAAGCACGUAUCGUAUUUAAAACAAACAGAUGAUAUUCACUCAACAUAGCAAUGAAAUCAACGAAUUAGUGUCAAAUCGAUUCGUUGCCUUAUUUUUUUGAAAACGCGAAUAUUUUUUUUGAAAUACGAAAAAAAAAAUUUGAAGACACGAAAAUUUUGAAACACGGAAUUUUUUUUUGAAAACACGAAUUUUUUUUAAAUAAUUACAAUUUUUAAAAGGACGUAUCGUGUUUAACAUAAACCGGUGAUAUUCACCCAACAUAGCGAUGAAAUCAACGAUUCAUGUUAAAUCAAUUCGUUGCCUUAUUUAUUAAAAUUAUUUAAAAUAAAGUAAAAUUAAAAUUAAAAUUAAAUUAAAUUAAAAAUAUAAAUACAAAAAUAUAAAAUGCAUGAAGUACUAAUAAUGUUAAAACGAAAUAGCAUAAAACACGAGUAUUAAAUUAAAAAUGAAAAAAAAACAAAAUUACCGAAAAGAUCCUGAAACACGAACUUCUUCAAACGGGUUACGCAAAUUGAAUCUUUUUUUUUCUUUUUUUCUUCCUUUUUUCUAGACUGGGCUGAGCGCGUGGGCCUGCUGCUGGACAGGAUUGGGCCAAAUGUCUGCUGGGCCGAUGGGAUAGGCCUGGCCUGCUGUUUGUUGAAAACGGCCCGUUGUUGGGCCUGCUUCUUUUUUUUGCUUUGGGCAUUUUUUUGCUUUGGGCCUUUUUGUUUCUUCUUCUUCUUUUUUUUUUUAAAAAAAUUUUUGUUUUUGGGUUGCUCCUUGGGCCUGGGCGUUGAUGGGUUGCUGGUUGCUGUGGGUCGGGUCGUGGGUCGGGUCGGUUUGACCCGACUAUUUUCAAUAUUUUUUGUUUUUUUCUUUCUUCUUCUUCUUCUUCUUUCUUUCUUUCUUUUUUUUUCUUUUUUCCUCUUCUUCUCUCGGAUCUAGCCUCCUCCACCGCCGUCGACGCCGCUGCUGCUGCCCGGUGAUGUGCUCUCGAUGCUUCCCUUCUCUUCCUCUCCUUUCUCUCCUCUUUUCUCUUUUUUUUGAAGCUUUUUCUCUCUUUUUUUUGAAAUUUUUUUUGGUAAUUGGGGGUCCUCGAUUUUUGGGGUUAAAACCCCUUUUAUGCUGAUUUCUUUGCUUCUUUUUGCAGGUGGCAGGUUGCUAGGGAGAAGGGAGGCCAUACCUUAGGCCGGUGGCCGGAAAUCGCGGGGAUUAGGUGCGCAAAUCACGUUUGGCUGCUAGAAGGACUAGAUUGCAAACAUAGCAAAACUUUUAGGGCAAAAACAUAAUUUUGAGAAAAUUUAGGGGUCAAAAUGUAAUUUCAAAAAGUUGGUGGGACAAAAUGUAAUUUUAAAAAAUUUUAGGGUUAAAAUAUAAUUUUAGAAAAAUUUAGGGGUCAAAAUAUAAUUUUCAAAAGUUUAGGGGUCAAAAUGUAAUUUCAAAAGUUCAGGGGUCAAAAUGUAUUUUUUUUUAAAAACAGGAAAUCAAGCCAGACAAAAUUCAGUGAUUACAGCUGCCCCUCUUUGCUCAUCGCUAUGAAACAGGGAUAGAGCAAAGACUUAAAAGCACUGAAUUUUGUUCGACCAUCCAAGAUUUUCUUAUUAUUUGUAAAACAUAAAUUUAAAAGAUACCUUGGUAUGUGACUCGAGGCUCAACUCACCUCUAGCAUUAUAAGUUGAUUUUUGGAAAAUAGAAAUGUAAAAUACCUUAGCAUGACCCGAGGCUCAACUCACCUCUCGCAUUAUAAGUUAAUUUUUAAAAAACAGAAAUUUAAAAGAAAUACCUCGGUAUGACCCGAGGCUCAACUCACCUCUCGCAAUAUGAGUUGAUUUAAAAAAACCAGAAAUUCAAAAGAAUUACCUCAGCGUGACCUGAAGCUCAACUCACCUCUCGCAAUAUGAGUUAAUUUUUUGAAAAAAAAACAGAAAUUAAAAAUACCUCAACGUGUGACCCGAGGCUCAACUCACCUCUCGCAAUAUGAGUUGAUUUUUUUGAAAAAAAACAGAAAUUAAAAAUACCUCAGCGUGACCCGAGGCUCAACUCACCUCUCGUAUUAUGAAUUGAUUUUAAAAAAAAGACAGAAAUUUAAAAGAAAUACCUCGGCAUGACCCGAGGCUCAACUCACCUCUCGCAAUAUGAGUUGAUUUAAAAAAACAGAAAUUUAAAAGAAAUACAUCGGCAUGUGUCCGAGGCUCAACUCACCUCUCGCAAUAUGAGUUGAUUUAAAAAAAUAGAAAUUGAAAAGAAUUACCUCAGCAUGACCCGAAGCUCAACUCACCUCUCGCAAUAUGAGUUGAUUUUUUGAAAAAAAAAUAGAAAUUAAAAAUACCUCAGCGUGUGACCCGAGGCUCAACUCACCUCUCGCAAUAUGAGUUAAUUUUUUGAAAAAAAAUAGAAAUUAAAAAUACCUCAGCGUGUGACCCGAGGCUCAACUCACCUCUCGCAAUAUGAGUUGAUUUUUUGAAAAAAAAAAACAGAAAUUAAAAAUACCUCAGCGUGACCCGAGGCUCAACUCACCUCUCGUAUUAUGAGUUGAUUUUAAAAAAAAGACAGAAAUUAAAAAUACCUCAGAGUGACCCGAGGCUCAACUUACCUCUCUUAUUAUGAGUUGAUUUUUAAAAAAAGACAGAAAUUAAAAAUAUCUCAGCGUGACCCGAGGCUCAACUUACCUCUCGUAUUAUGAGUUGAUUUAAAAAAAAGAUAGAAAUUAAAAAUACCUCAACGUGACCCGAGGCUCAACUCACCUCUCGUAUUAUGAGUUGAUUUUUGAAAAAAAAUAGAAAUUAAAAAUAUUUCUCGAAAGAAAUAGGGUUUCAAAAAACAUCUGGUGAAACUAAAAGUCUUCUUCUUUAUUGAUUCUGUGCAGCUUUCUCCCAGUAUUCCUUGCUCUACUGGUAUACCUGUAUAUGUCAUGUAUGAUAUUAUUAUGAUAUGCACAUGUUUGUCCUAAAUGCUUUUGUGUUUACAUGAUCAUGCAAUGCACCCUGGGCUAUUUGUCACGUGCCCUACUUUUGAUUUUCGUGAGGGUCCGCAUUCAUUGCCUCAAUUCUUGACUUUUCUCUCUAGUUUUAUACUCAUCCUCAAGUUCUGUGAAUAAUCCACAUCUUCGUAUACCACCUUCCUGUCCCCUGUAGAACUUUGUUCCUGCUUUGGGGCCCUCGUAUUUAUUAAAUUCUCAUCAGGUAAUGCUCAACAUUCCUUUUGUUUAGAAUAUGUCAUCUUACUAUUUAUCAUUUAGAUGAAUCAAACAUUGGAUGCAUAAAAAAUGGUAAAGUAGGCAUGAAAGAAAGACCUCACGUUUAUUUUUUUUUCCAAAAACAACAAAAAAAUGAAAAUUGACAAGGAAAAAUUCAAAAAAAAAGCAUCAUAAAGAAAGGAAAGCGAAUUCAAUGGCCACAAAUGCUCUAGAUAUCCAAUGCAUGAACUUUCCACGCUUCUUCAUCCUGGAUCUUUUCGAGCACGGCUUCUUGUGUAGAAGAUUUCGAGCUUCUGAGAAUGCUUCAAAUAUUGUGACUUCGUCAUUCAACUCCACAUUCAAGUCAGUUUGUUCAUUUAAGUUCGAGCCCAUUUCAUUAGGACGCCCUUUCGGGUUUUCAUCCUAAUCCUUUUUGUUUAUCAAGACGCCCUUUUUGGGUUUUUAUCUUAACUUUUUCUUUUUUUUGUUUUUUGUUUUUAUCUCUCUUUUUUUUGUUUUUUUAGGCAUAAUAUUUCUUCACAGCAUCUGAGUUUACUGGAUUAGGUAAUUCUUUCCCAUCCAUCUCAGUAAGAAUUAGAGCCCCUCCCGAGAAUGUCUUUUUUACAACGUAUGACCCUUCCUAAUUUGGUGACCAUUUUCCUCGAAAGUCCUUUUGUAUCGGGAGGAUCUUUCUUAAAAUGAGCUCCCAUUAGCGAAAUUCUCUUGGCCCCACCUUUUUAUCAUGGGCCGUGAUCAUUCUCUUCUGGUACAUUUGUCCAUGACAAAUUGCCUUCAAGCGUUUCCCUUCAAUAAGGUUUAGCUGGUCAUAUCGAGCUCGAACCCACUCUGAUUCUUCUAACUUUGUCUCCAUCAAAACGCGCAGGGAUGGGAUCUCUACUUCGAUAAGCAGAACGACCUCCAUCCCGUAGACUAGAGAAAAAGGAGUUGCCCUUGUAGACGUCCGUACAGAGGUGCGAUAUGCGUACAAAGCGAAUGGUAGCUUCUCGUGCCUGUCUUUAUAUGUCUUAGUCAUUUUCCCGAUAAUUCUCUUAAUAUUUUUGUUGGCCGCUUCAACAGCUCUGUUCAUUUUUGGGCGAUAAGGUGAGGAAUUAUGAUGCUUUAUCUGGAAUUGCUCACACACUUCUUUCAUCAUCUUGUUGUUCAAAUUCAAAGUAUUAUCUGAAAUGAUUCUCUCAGGCAAACCAUAUCGAUAUAUGAUCUCCUUUUUUAAGAACCUACAGACUGCAGCCUUUGUCACAUUAGCAAACGAAGUGGCUUCUACCCAUUUUGUAAAGUAGUCUAUAACCACAAAGAUGAAUCGAUGCCCAUUGGAAGCUUUCGGGGAAAUUGGCCCUAUAACAUCCAUGCCCCACAUAGAAAAAGGCCACGGAGAAGUCAUGACAUGAAGGGGCGAUAGAGCUGCAUGAAUUUUAUCGCCAUAAAUUUGACAUUUGUGGCAUUUUCGCACGUAGCCAAUGCAAUCAAUUUCCAUCGUCAGCCAGUAAUAACCAAGUCUCAUAAUCUGUCUGGCCAUAGUGAAACCACUGAAAUGUGUUCCACAAAUUUCUUCGUGGACAUCUUCAAGUAUUCUUUUGGCUUCAACAGCGUCCACGCAUCUCAAGAGCAUUUGGUCCUUUCCUUUUUUAUAAAGGAUAUCUCCGUAAGAACAAACCCAGCCGCCAUUCUCCUGAUUGUUCUCUUGUCAUUCUCAUUUGCUUGCUCGGGAUACUUUUGAUUCUUAAUGUAAUCCAAUAUGUCAUGAAACCAGGUCUUCCAUCUGACUCUUUCUCAAAGCUAAAACAGUGUGUGAGGACCUCAUAUAUGCUCAUUUGGAGAGGCAUUAUUUCUGUUUCUCUGCUUGCUUUGAACUUUGAAGCCAAUGUGGCCAACGUGUCAGCCAAUUGGUUCUCCUCUCGUGGAAAGUAGUUAAAAGUCACUUCUUUGAAUUCUUUGACCAAUUUCGCAACGAGAUCGUGAAACCUGACUAAUUUUGGAUCUCUCACUUCCCAAUCUCCACGAAUUUGAUAAAUGACUAAUGUCGAGUCCCCGUGUACCUCUAAAAUUUCAAUUUUCCUCCUGAUAGCUGCACGAAGUCCCAUGAUGCAAGCCUCAUACUCUGCUAUAUUAUUAGUGCAGAAGAAAUUCAAUCUGGCAGUAAGCGGGUAAUGGUCCCCUUCUGGUGACACUAAGACUCCUCCGAUCCCAUGCCCCCAAUGCAUUCGAUGCACCAUCAAAGCUCAUCUUCCAUGAUUUCUCUUUUUCUGAAAUGCACAUCAAGUCUUCAUCUGGGAAAUCAAAUCUCAAAGGCUCGUAUUCUUCCAUCGCUCGACUUACCAAGAAGUCAGCUAUUACGCUUCCCUUUAUCGACUUUUGGCUCACAUACACAAUGUCAUACUCAGACAAUAGGAUCUGCCAUCGUACCAUUCUCCCUGAGAGUGCAGGUGACUCCAUCAUGUACUUUAUUGGGUACAGUUUCGAAAUUAACCAUGUCGUAUGAUACAACAUGUAUUGUCUGAGCCUUCGAACCGUCCAAAUCAACGCACAGCAAAAAUUUUCAAAUGAAGGGUGCUUUGCUUCAUAUGCUGUGAAUUUUUUGCUGAGGUAGUAAAUCGCCUUUUCUCUUUUCCCUGACUCAUCAUGCUGUCCCAGUACGCAACCCAUUGAGUUUUUAAACACGGUCAGGUACAAUAUUAAUGGUUUUCUAGGGGUCAACAAUACUAGUACCGGAGGAUUAGAUAGAUACUGUUUUAUCUUAUCGAAGGCCAUUUGGCACUCCUCGUUCCAUUCUCCCGGGUUAUGUUUCUGAAGGAGUUGAAAAAUUGGGUCGCACUGAUUGGUAAGUUGAGCAAUGAAUCGAGCAAUGUAAUUCAACCUUUUUAAAAAUCCUCCGACUUCCUUCUGUGUGCGUAGGGGAGGCAGUUCUUGUAUAGCUUUUAUCUUGUCUGGAUCAACCUUGAUACAUCUCUCACUGACAAUGAAACCUAGCAAUUUUCCAGAGGUAGCCCCAAACGUACAUUUGGCCGGGUUAAGCUUCAACUGGAACUUUCUUAGCCUUUUGAACAACUUCUUGAGAUUCCCAACAUGCUCUUUUUCUUCCUGAGAUUUGGCAAUCAUAUCAUCGACAUAAACUUUUAUUUCUUUGUGCAUCAUAUCAUGGAACAACGUCACCAUGGCACUCUAAUAUGUUGCCCCAGCAUUCUUUAGUCCGAACAGCAUCACUUUAUAGCAGAACGUACCCCACAUUGUAACGAAUGUAGUUUUCUCUAUAUCUCCGGUGGCCAUCUUAAUCUGAUUAUAACCCGAGAAACCAUCCAUGAAAGAAAACAGAGAAUGCUUUGCCGUAUUAUCCACCAAAGUGUCGAUGUAUGGUAAAGGAAGUUAUCUUUAGGGCUUGCUUGAUUCAGAUCACGAUAAUCCACGCAUAUUCGCACCUUGCCAUCUUUCUUCGGCACUGGGACUAUAUUAGCUACCAAUUUUGAAUAUUUAGAAACUUGCAAGAAGCCAGCAUCAUAUUGUUUCUUGACUUCUUCUUUUAUCUUUAACAGCAUUUCAGGUCUCAUCCUUCUUAACUUCUGCUGACGGGCUUACAUUCUGGUUUUAAUGGGAGUCUAUGGACCACUACAUCCUCGUUCAACUCUGGCAUGUCCUGAUAAGACCAGGCAAAUACAUCUUUGUACUCACGGAGUAAGGCGAUCAAAUUCUGUUUGGUGCUCCCUGAAAUAGAAGUUUCAAUCUUCACUUCUUAUUUAUUUUCCUUCAUUUCCCAAGUUUACUGUCUCAAUAGAUUCUUGAUGGGGUAGAAUCUCUUCUCUUAUUGUUCUACCAUUCUCAGUAAGUCAGGAGACAAGACACAAUCUUCAACACUUCCUUCAGCUUCGAAUUCUUCUAAACAAACAGCCUUUUCGAAAUUGAUUUCAGGACUUGUAACGGGAUUGUUCAUACCAUGGAUAUUUGAGCACCUGAAAGGUGAAUGGGAAAAAAACUAUAGAGAAGCAUCAAAGUAUUGGAAUCAACACACAUAAUGUUAUGGAAUGAUAUGAUAUAUGUGUAGGAAAAAGCUAUGAGAAACGGGAAUAAUUACAACACUAAUGAAAAUGAAAAGACCAUGACAAAAUGCAUCUUCAUUAAUGUUCAUUGAAAUGAUAAAGAGAAAACAUAAGCUCUUACAAAAGAAUCCCAUCACUUAGGAACACACAACAUAAUGGAGAAGUAACAUUGGGCAUUACUCGGGAGAGAACUUAGAAACUACAAAAAGGUCCACAACAGUCCAAUUGUUCAAAACAUAUUCUGGAGGACAAUGGUGUAUCAUUGAAACAUCCAUAAUUGUAUCACUCUCGUUGAGUUCAGCAUCCAUAGCUCUAGCUCUUAGAUGCGUUCUAUAAGAAUGACGUGAUUCCAGAAUUGUAGUGUCACAAUUGUGGAUUAUGCAGUUCUAGCCUUAAUGAAUGGUUAGGGUGAUAUGUACAUGCAAUGCAUGAAUGAAUGAAUGAAUAAAUGAAUGACAAGUGAAUGUUAGUCAUGAAUAAAUAUACAAGAAUUAGGUGUUGAUUUCAAGAUAGCCCCAUAUUUUGGCGUUUCAUUUAUCAAAAGAGUCCAUUACAAAAUAUUUUGUCAAUGAAGAUGCCCCUAGUGCCUGAGUCUCAUUGUUUCCAAAUCUUAGUCAAAUCUUCAGGGUUAUUCUGACAAGCAUUCGAAGACGCCUUCCUGGAAAGAUCAGAGAUAUAUCUUUCCUUUAAACUGUCCAUUUUGCUUUCUGAGCCCUUAAAGACCAGUCUCUGACUACGGCAUUUUUCUUGGUUACUUGCGUAAUUGACUCCUCCAUCAAAACCCGUUUUUGGCAACCAAUCUCUAAUCAACACCUUCCUAAUGAAAUGCCUAUGAUGCAUGAUGAAAAAUAAAAUUAAGACAAAUAAACUUAGUGAUACGGGGUUGCGCGCGGACCAAGAUCGAGUUGCCAAGUCAUGAGAAACUCCUACGAAAACCCUAAACAAUUAGAUCUGAAACGAAACAGAAAAUUAAAAGAUUAGAUUUUUAAAUUUUCAGAUCUGAAAUAAAAUCCCCAAAACAGUAAAGAAUCAAAUAGAGAAUAGAAAUAAGUGUUAAUAAGGAAUCUUGAAACCCUAGAAGAGAUUGCGAUUCUGCCCAAUUGAACACCCAGAUAGUUUUCCCCAAAUUUCGGCAAUCUAAUUUCUCCCAAAAAGAGUAUGGAUGAAUCGGCAAGAACCCUAGAAAUUGGGGAUUUUUGGGCUAAUUCCUUAAGAUAGAAAAAGGCUGAAAACACAAUAAGAACAGAAAAUAGAUUAGAUAAUGAUUCAGCACAAGUAGAAAUAAAGAAAGAAUUGACAGUAAGAAAUUAAAAGAUAAGUCCUAAGAAGCCUUGAAAUCUCGAAAGAUCUCACAACUCCCUUCAAACGGCUCUAAUCUCCCCUCCAAAGAAUAUCAAUGGCAAGAAGAAGGUUGAAGAUGGCUCCCACAAUCAAAAAGAUUGUUAAAACAACUUCUAAAGAAAACUCAAGAGAAAAUCCUUGAAGAACUCAAAGAGAAUUUUCACUCAAAUCAAAUCUGAAAUUUUCAAUGUAAUUGUAAUGUAAUGUAGGGUGGCUGGCCAAGCCAUAUAAAUAGGCCUUUCAAAUGUUUUCCUAAUUUAAUUAGAACACUAAAACUAAAACUAAAAAAAAAAACUCCUAAUUAUUUUAAUAUGGAAAUUCGGCCAAGGGUCUUUUAUUUGGGACUCUUGGACUGAAUAUAAAAAUUUAAACUAAGUAAAAUAAAUAAAUAAAAAAAUAAAACUUUACAACUUGGGCCACUUUGACAAUUUGGCCUGAUUUUCAACUAAGUAUGGGUGGAUUUCUUGAUUGGGCUUGGAAGAAUUUGCUUAUUGAGCCUCGCCUUCAAGAAUUUGGGCUUUUGUGACUCGUAUCAUUCCCCCUUCCUCAAAAAGAUUCGUCCUCGAAUCUGAAAAAUCAAAUGAACUCGACUUUCCUCUAUCGAACGGGACUAAUGGCAAUUGAGUCCACUGAGAAGAAUAGCCAUGAGAUAGUAAAUAGCAACGGAAAUAAGCUUGUAGUCCAAUCAUAAGCAUAAUAGAACAGGUAUAACGCAUGUGAAUGGACAGAUUCAGAUUACCAUGCAAACAAUCUAAUUUACUCACCACUGCCUCGUCAAAUAUUUGAAACAAAGAUGGACAUGUUUUAAGGCAUUCAGUGGUCUCACAUUGUUCCCACAAACCAUGAAUAAAUUGCGAGUAAUAAAUCAAAUGGUAAACAUAAUCGUCACAAGUAGGUAUUUGAAAAGAUUCACAUGGUUCACAGAGUUGCAUAAUCAUACCAUGCAUUAAUCGACGGUCUAUAGAUUCACUCACACAUGCAUUAUCAAAAACAAGAAUCUUUUUAUCAACCAUCAAAACAGAUAGAUCAUCAAUAAAUAAAAUAGGACAGUCAAGCACGUUUCGAUCUAAGUGUUCAUCAACACGAUCUUUAUCACUAUCCGAGGAGUACAAAAGUGUUUCAAAGGUUUCAAGCAUCUUACCUCGAUAAGCAGAAGAAUAAGGGUCGAUUUUACCUUUUUCAUUUAAAACAAACCUUCGCUCAUCGGGGGCAUAGUGUAGUCGAAUCUCCGUUGUUGAGUUAACCUUUGUCAAAUGGAACUCAAACUUCAUGUACAACCACAUAAACUGUUUAAGGCACGAAUAUAAAUUGAAAACAAAUUUGGAAAAUUUCGUUACUUUAUUCUCCAAAACAGAUUUGGACAAAUUCAAGGAUUUUACACAAGGUAAAUCAAGAGAAUAACAAAUCACGCUUCUUUUCGUAAUGACUUUAUCAACCACAAUCGAAGAGUAACAAUUAAUCGGAUCAAAAUGAGGGGAUCUUUUAAGAACUAAGUCACCAAAAGUUUUAUCAAUAAUUUUCAAAUCUGCACUGGACUCGGUUUCUAAAAUUUCCUUACCUCGCUUACCUUCGGGAUCAUGUAGUGUGAUUUCAUCUUUGCCUAAGUUGAUCGUAUGAAAGCGUCUUUCAUUUGAGAGGUAUUGAAGUUGAAAGUUAUCUUUCGAUCUUUCGGGAACCUGAAAAGUAGCAACACAAGAAAAAUUCAUAUCUUGGUUAGUGGAAACAUUCCUCACUACCCUUUCCACGUCUUUUUCUUUUGUUUCUUUUUCUAAUUCAUUUUCUCUUCUUUCUUCAAUUUCUUUUUCACUCUCAAUCUCUUUUUGCUCUUUUUCAUUCUCUUUUUCUUUUUCCUCACUUGUUUUAACAGAAUUUUUCAGUUUGAUUUGGUCCUCAUGGACUUGUUCCGAAGUGAGCGGCACUAAGGUGAGUUUCUUUCCUUGAUGCUUGAAAGAAUACCUAUUGGUACGACCAUCGUGAGUGACUUUUCGAUCCAGUUGCCAUGGUUCUCCUAGCAAUAAAUGGCAGGCUUGAAUAGGCAUUACGUCGCACACAACUUCGUCUUGAUACUUACCGAUAGAAAAGGCGAUGCGCACUUGUUGAGUGACCCUAAAUUGGCCUUCGUUGCUAAGCCCUUGUAGUUGAUAAGGUUGUGGAUGCUUGGUAGUGGUUAAGCAAAGCUUUUCCACCAUCGUCGUGCUGGCUAUGUUUGAGCAACUUUCACAAUCAAUAAUAACUCUACAAAGCUUACCUUGUACAUGGCAGCGAGUAUGAAAGAGAUGUUCUCGUUGCUGCUCGCUCUUUGGUUUUGCCAAAGAUGAUUGUCCACGAUCAUGAAAAUCAUCAUCCAUUCUAGGGACACGUUGAGGGCUGCACCUAUGGGGCUGGUUAUCCCUAUCUUCCUUAAUUGGAUCUCGAUAUUGAUGUUUUUGAUUCACUCGUACCUCAUUCAAAGUAGUAUUCAAUGCUUGAAGUGUAGCAUUUAUUUGUGUGAUUGCAGCAGUAUGUCCGUCUAACUGUUGUUGGACUUUCAUAAGUGCAUCAUUAUUAUCACCUUUAGACAUCUUCAAAACUGUAAAAAAUAAACACUCAACACUCAAAAAUAAAAGUUAGCAAACCUCACCAUUAAUCACUCAAAAAGAAAAAUCAAAUUCUCAAUGAGGUCGAAUUCAAUCUUGUGAGUUCUUUAUCAGAGUUUAUAUCAACCAAUUAGAGAGUGUGAACCAAACUACCAAAGAAUCCUAAUUUGCACUAGGAUGCCAAAAACUGACGAGACACCAAGUGAUUCGUGUUGCACCGAGGAAGGAUUGUGCACACGUUUAAAUCCUACUAACACAAGAAACAAGAAGGUGUUAGAUAUUGUAAAAGGAGAAUAAAAAGCAAACAAAUGAAAACCUACAGCUAAGAAUCAAUAAAAAUUGCUGAAAACAGAAAACCCGAAAAACUGCGGAGUAACUUGACAACUUCGUUCGAGGUGUUCCCGAUCUCCAAAAAUCACGAAAUUAAAUCUGGAGUGUCCUUAUAUAUUGAAUUUUCGAUCUGGAAAUUUUGGGCACCAAAUUCAACCCGCUGAAUCUUUUUUUAAAUUUUUAUUGAAUUUCGUAUUUUUUGAUUUUUUUAACUUUUUUGACUGAUUUUUUUGCGGGAAUAAUUUUUUUAUAUUCAAUCACAGUGCCAAAAACAUGUAUGUAAAAUUUCAGAUCAAUAGGACAACGUUUACCCACUCAAAUGAAUUUUUUUUUGAACAAUUUUUUCUGGGUAAAACUGCUGUUUAUGCUUUAAAAAAUAAAGAUCAGUUUAGAAAUCAACCAAGAACACCCAAAACGCCCAAAAUCUGAUACCAAAUGAUACGGGGUUGCGCGCGGACCAAGAUCGAGUUGCCAAGUCAUGAGAAACUCCUACGAAAACCCUAAACAAUUAGAUCUGAAACGAAACAGAAAAUUAAAAGAUUAGAUUUUUAAAUUUUCAGAUCUGAAAUAAAAUCCCCAAAACAGUAAAGAAUCAAAUAGAGAAUAGAAAUAAGUGUUAAUAAGGAAUCUUGAAACCCUAGAAGAGAUUGCGAUUCUGCCCAAUUGAACACCCAGAUAGUUUUCCCCAAAUUUCGGCAAUCUAAUUUCUCCCAAAAAGAGUAUGGAUGAAUCGGCAAGAACCCUAGAAAUUGGGGAUUUUUGGGCUAAUUCCUUAAGAUAGAAAAAGGCUGAAAACACAAUAAGAACAGAAAAUAGAUUAGAUAAUGAUUCAGCACAAGUAGAAAUAAAGAAAGAAUUGACAGUAAGAAAUUAAAAGAUAAGUCCUAAGAAGCCUUGAAAUCUCGAAAGAUCUCACAACUCCCUUCAAACGGCUCUAAUCUCCCCUCCAAAGAAUAUCAAUGGCAAGAAGAAGGUUGAAGAUGGCUCCCACAAUCAAAAAGAUUGUUAAAACAACUUCUAAAGAAAACUAAAGAGAAAAUCCUUGAAGAACUCAAAGAGAAUUUUCACUCAAAUCAAAUCUGAAAUUUUCAAUGUAAUUGUAAUGUAAUGUAGGGUGGCUGGCCAAGCCAUAUAAAUAGGCCUUUCAAAUGUUUUCCUAAUUUAAUUAGAACACUAAAACUAAAACUAAAAAAAAAACUCCUAAUUAUUUUAAUAUGGAAAUUCGGCCAAGGGUCUUUUAUUUGGGACUCUUGGACUGAAUAUAAAAAUUUAAACUAAGUAAAAUAAAUAAAUAAAAAAAAUAAAACUUUACAACUUGGGCCACUUUGACAAUUUGGCCUGAUUUUCAACUAAGUAUGGGUGGAUUUCUUGAUUGGGCUUGGAAGAAUUUGCUUAUUGAGCCUCGCCUUCAAGAAUUUGGGCUUUUGUGACUCGUAUCACUUAGUUAGCAAUCACAACAAAUAUAAACAAAGAAAAACUAUGGAAAAUCUAACAAACCGACCUAUAUAUAUUUUUUUGGUUUUUACCCCAUCAUACUUUACAAAAUAAACUUACCCCACAUGAUAAUCUACCCGAUCCAAUUUAUUAAACAGACCUAAUUCUCUUGCAAAAACAAAUAUAAAUGUAAAAUAAAAAAUAAAAAAAUAAAACGUAAGAGGCGUUUCUCCCAUGUACUUGUUUUGGUAACUAUCCAACGGACAGAGGUUCGAUAUGGCUCUAAUCGGGUGGCUCGUAUGGUUCACUAUAUGCGAUUUCGGUUCUAGGAAGGUACUCGAAUUGUCCAUACUGUCACCUACUAAGGUUAGUACGGAGCCUCGGUCAUAACCCAUCACAGGCUCGCGAGCACAAUUCGAGGGAUUACAUUUACUUCUGCUUAUGCGGAGGGACGAGUUAACUCACGAAAGCAUAAGUCAUAUGUAACCCGGAGUAUUUCACUAGCCUGUACCGAUGGACGAGUUAACUCACGAAGGCGUAGUGUUUACUUCUACUUAAACGGACGGAGCCCGGGUAGAGAGCUCAUGUUAUGCAAGAAUGCAAAUGCACGGUGUGUGGGGAGAAACUCACAAACCUUUUUAUUUUUUUAUUUUUACUAAAAAAGCAAGCUAAAAAAACGUAAAACUUAAAGCUGAGAAAAAAACAGAAAAAUAAAACAAGUUAGAAAGAUUAUUAAUUUAAAAACUAAAUGUAGAUGCAUGACUUUUUAAAAAAUAAAAUUCAAGGAUCACGACUAGAAAUUAAUUUGAACAAUGAAUUUUAAAAAUUUUGACAACACGUGUUUAACAUCAGACUCGACUCUCGAAAAAAAGUCCCUAGUGGAGUCGCCAGCUGUAGCGACCUAAAAAUUUGGCAAUGGGCGCUAGUCGAAGUAAUUAUUGAAAACGUGAAAAUCGAAUCUCGAUUUUAUUUGAAAAAGGAGUCGCCACUGAUCUUUUUUCUAGGUGUGAUCGGACACCUAAUAAAUUCUCUUUUUAGAAGAAAAAUUUAUUUUUAAAUUUUCCUAAACAAGAGGUAAUUUUAGGUCUGGGUGAAAAUCCAGAGAAAAUUAGAGUUCGGGAGUCGGUUACGCGCGCAGAAGGUAUUAGCACCCUCGCGACGCCCAAAAUUGGUAUCUCGUUAAACACGCGUUGUCUUUAUUUUCAAAAAUACGAGUUCAAUUUAAUAUUUACUCGCGAUUCGAUUGAAACAUAAGAAUUUUUUUAAAAAACAUAAAUUUUUUUUAAAACAUGAAAAUUUGUGAAACACGAAAAUCGUUGAAAACACGCAAAUUUUUGAAAACACGAAAAUUUUAAAAACACGAAAAUUUUUAAAAACAAGACAAUUUUUGAAACACGAGAACUUUUUUUUAAAACAUACAAAUUUUUAAAACACGAAAAUUUGUGAAACACGAGAAUUGUUGAAAACAUGAAAUUUUUUAAAACACGAAAAUUUUUAGAAAACACGAAUUUUUUUUAAAAUCACCGGAAUUUUUGGGAACACGAAGAUUUUUGAAAACAUGAAGAUUUUUGAAACGCGAGAAUUUUUUGAAAACGCAAAAAAAUUUUGAAAAUGGAAUUUUCUAAAAACACGAGCAUUUUUGAAAUCAUGAAAAUUUUUGAAACACAUGAUUUUUAAAAAAAACACGAAUUUUUCGAUUUUUUAUUAAGCAUGUAUCGUAUUUAACACAAACCGAUGAUAUUCACUCAACAUAGCAAUGAAAUCAACGAAUUAGUGUCAAAUCGAUUCGUUGCCUUAUUUUUUUGAAAACGCGAAUAUUUUUUUUGAAAUACGAAAAAAAAAUUUUGAAGACACGAAAAUUUCGAAACAUGGAAAUUUUUUUUGAAAACACGAAAUUUUUUUAAAUAUUAACAAUUUUUAAAAGGACGGAUUGUGUUUAACAUAAACCGGUGAUAUUCACCCAACAUAGCGAUGAAAUCAACGAUUCAUGUUAAAUCGAUUCGUUGCCUUAUUUAUUAAAAUUAUUUAAAAUAAAGUAAAAUUAAAAUUAAAAUUAAAUUAAAUUAAAAAUAUAAAUACAAAAAUAUAAAAUGCAUGAAGUACUAAUAAUGUUAAAACGAAAUAGCAUAAAAAACGAGUAUUAAAUUAAAAAUGAAAAAAAAAACAAAAUUACCGAAAAGAUCCUGAAACACGAACUUCGUCGAACGGGUUACGCAAAUUGAAUCUUUUUUUUCUUUUUUUCUUCCUUUUUUCCGGACUGGGCUGAGCGCGUGGGCCUGCUGCUGGACAGGAUUGGGCCAAACGUCUGCUGGGCCGACGGGACAGGCCUAGCCUGCUGUUUGCUGAAAACGGCCUGUUGUUGGGCAUGCUUCUUUUUUUUACUUUGGGCCUUUUUGUUUCUUCUUCUUCUUCUUCUUUUUUUAAAAUUUUUGUUUUUGGGCUGCUCCUUGGGCCUGGGCGUUGAUGGGUUGCUGGUUGCUGCGGGUCGGGUCUGAAUCGGGUCGGGUCAUGGGUAGUGGGUCGGGUCUGUCUGACCCGACUAUUUUCAACAUUUUUUUGUUUUUUCUUCUUCUUUCUUUCUUUUUUGUUUUUUCCUCUUCUUCUCUUGGAUCUAGCCUCCUCCACCGCCGUCGACGCCGCUGCUGCUGCCCGGUGAUGUGCUCCCGACGCUUCCCUUCUCUUCCUCUCCUUUCUCUCCUCUUUUCUCUUUUUUUGAAGCUUUUUCUCUCUCUUUUUUUUUGAAAUUUUUUUUGGUAAUUGGGGGUCCUCGAUUUUUGGGGUUAAAACCCCUUUUAUGUUGAUUUCUUCGCUUCUUUUUGCAGGUGGCAGGUUGCUAGGGAGAAGAGAGGCCAUACCCUAGGCUGAUGGCCGGAAAUCGUGGGGAUUAGGUGCGCAAAUCACAUUUGGCUCCUAGAAGGACUAGAUUGCAAACGUAGCAAAACUUCUGGGGUCAAAACAUAAUUUUGAGAAAAUUUAGGGGUCAAAAUGUAAUUUCAAAAAGUUGGUGGGACAAAAUGUAAUUUUAAAAAAUUUUAGGGGUAAAAUAUAAUUUUAGAAAAAUUUAAGGGUCAAAAUGUAAUUUUAAAAAGUUUAGGGGUCAAAAUGUAAUUUCAAAAGUUUAUGGGUCAAAAUGUAUUUUUUUUUUGAAAAAAUAGGAAAUCAAGCCAGACAAAAUUCAGUGAUUACAUAUAUAUUGCCGAAUUCGAACUGUUUAUAGUUAUACAUUGUCGAAAUUGAUUUGCAUAUGAAUAUAAGUUGCUGAAUUGAUUUGUAUAUGAUUGUACAUUGCUGAAAUUAAUUUGUAUAUGGUUAUACAUUGUUGAAAUUGAAUUGUAUAUGGAUAUAAGUUGCCGAAUUGAUUUGUAUAUGAUUAUACAUUGCUUAAAUUAAUUUGUACAUGGUUAUACAUUAUUGAAAUUGAAUUGUAUAUGGAUAUAAGCUGCCGAAUUGAUUUGUAUAUAAUUGUACAUUGCUGAAAUUAAUUUGUAUAUGGUUAUACAUUGUUGAAAUUGAAUUGUAUAUGGAUAUAAGUUGCCGAAUUGAUUCAUAUAUGGUUGUACAUUGCUGAAAUUAAUUUGUAUAUGGUUAUACAUUGUUGAAAUUGAAUUAUAUAAGGAUAUAAGUUGCCGAAUUGAUUUUUAUAUGAUUAUAUAUUGUUGAAAUUAAUUUGUACAUGGUUAUACAUUGUUGAAAUUGAAUUGUAUAUGGAUAUAAGUUGCCAAAUUGAUUCGUAUAUGGUUAUACAUUGCUGAAUUUAAUUUGUAUAUGAUUAUACAUUACUGAACUUGAUUCGUAUAUGGUUGUACAUUGCCAAAUUUGGUUCGUACAUGAAUAUAUAUUGUUGAAUUGAUUUGAGCAUUGGAUUACUGGUUUCGUGCAUGAAAUGAUUUAAUUAAGAAGUCUAUAGCUUUGAAUGAACCUUAGAAAAUGUAUUUGAUAUUGAUGACAUGAUAUUAGGACUUCUGAAGUGUGAUUUCGUGUAAGACCAUGUCUGGGACAUUGGCAUCGAAGUAAGAAAAUGUGUAAGACCAUGUCUGGGACAUUGACAUCGUAUAUGAUUCGUAUAAGACCCUGUUUGGGACAGUGGCAUCGAUAUGCGUUAACAUGUAAGACCAUAUCCGAGAUAUGACAUUGUAUGAGCUUUAUAUAAUUUCUGUGUGUACUUAACAAAUCCGAAUGUGAAUUUGAGUUGAAUGGCUCAGGUACGCAUGAGGUUUAUAUGUUUAUUGAAAAAAAAUAAGGUAAGUAAAGUGAUUUAAUAUGGUAAUUUGGAAUAUAUGAGUUAAAUGAUUUUAUAAAUGUAUGAUAUUAGCUAAAUUUCGGCCUAUUUUAAAUUAAAUUAUAUAUGUUCUCGUGUUGAAUUAAUUGCUUAUGACUUACAAAGCUUUCAAAGCUUACUUUGUGUGUCUUUUUAUUGUUUUAUAGAUUUUGAAAGCUAGCUCGAGUUCGGGGAUCAUCGAGGAACAUCGUCACACUAUCAAUAGCUAUUUCGGUACUUUAAAAGUUUGUACUUUCCACUUAUGACAUGUAUAGGCUAGUUUCGAUAUGGUUAUUUUGAUCUGUAUAUAUGUGGCCAUGCGGAAAUGGCUUGAUAAUGAUGUUAAUGUUUGUGUAUUCUCGGUCAUAGUAUAAGCUCAUUUUGGGAAGUAUGUUUCGUGAUAUAUAUGUAUGGUGUAUUGGUUAUAUGUUUUGGUUGAGUAACGAUUUAGUUGAUGGAUGUGUUUUUACUAUAAUGCAUAUAUUCCCAUAAACUAAAUUAUGUAUCAGUGAUUGCUUGCAUAUUGGUUGUUUAGGCACAGUUUGUGAUGGCAAAGUACGAAUAUGUUUUAUAAUUUAUUGGAUGGUUAUCUAGGAAUUGACAUAAAUGGUAAAUUGUGCAUGAAUUGUAAUAAAUGAUCGUGAUGAACUAUGUUUUGUUUGGUAAUGCCUCGUAACCCUAAUUCGGAAAUGAAUACGGGUUAGGGGUGUUACAGAUGUGGUAUUGUGUGUGUUAGUAAAUUAGGUCUUUUAAGACUGUUCGUAAAAUAUUGUAAGAGUAAGUAUCGUUCUGUAGUGUGUGGAAUCAGAGUGUGCAGCGGAAGUGUCAUGGCGAGUAGUCACACCUCGAAAUUGGGCUUGGAAGAAUUAAGGUUUGCAAGUGAGUUGUUGGUUGCCGAUAGAUUUUUAUGUUUUCUUUUCUGUUUGAGAGAUAAGAAUGAGCUUAUUGGUUUAGUAAUAAGGUGUUUGUUAGCUUGCCCUUUGAUCUUGUGUUCAAAUCCUCGUGUACGCUUAGUGGGAAUUAUUUUCAUUUUUGGUUUCAACUCAUUAUAUUAGGAUUUUAGUUAAAUCUAUUUUAUUUAUAUAUCUUAUUUUAUUUUUUAAUUUUUUGAGAAUUUGAAUCCUUAAAAUUCCUCCUAGUAACUUCCUUUCUCUCCCACUCUUUGGUUGACAGUUUUCUUUUCUCUCUCUGUCAUUGAAAUUCAUUUUUUUUCUGUUCUUCCUUUGUUUAUUCUUUCUUUUAAAAAUUUGUUCUUCUCUUUUCCAUUAAAGCGCCUUGAAAUCUAUUGGUUUUGUUCCAUUCCGUCCUUGUGCUCGAAUUUUGGUUACUAUUGCUUCGUUAGAGUUUCAUCUGUUCUUUCAUAUUAUUGUUCAACAACUUUUAUCGAGUGAGUGUAAGUUAUGAUAAGUUUUACGUUAGUCUUUUCGAUUCUUUUAGGUAUGAUUUCGAUCAAAUCCUUAUAAGUUUUGUGUGCUCUUGUAUUAAUUUUCAAAUCGGUUUAGAGGAGGUGCUUUCCUGGUGCUUGGAAGAUCGUUUAAUGUGUGUUUCUUAAUCAUAUGUAAUUAAGGGUCAAUUUGAUGUGGAAUUUCGUGAUUUGCAAUAAUUUUAGGGUGUUACACCCAAUGUGCGAAUAAUUGUCAAGUUUAGAAACUAACUUAGACAAAAAAAAAGUUCAAGUCAUAAUGUGGAAACGAUUGUCAAGUUCAGGGACUAACCUAGACAAAAAAAAGUUCAAACCUUAAUUUGAAAACACUUGCCAAAUUCAAAUCCCAAAUAAUACAUUAACCCUAUAAAUUAUACCGUCAAUUAUUAAGCAUGAUGAUUUUUUUUUGUCGUAUAUUCUGUUAUAUAUAUAUAUAUUUAUAAAAUUAAGAUAUUUUUUAUAUUCAUUUUACUUUACGAUACAUAAAAAUUAAAAUUCGUAUCCCUCACUCUCUACCACAAAGUAUGAAUUGGGCUAGGUCAGCCGUCUACCACAAUUAGCCUUACUCGAGGUUGAUAAACCAACAAUUAUAUGGGUAAGAUAAACGCGGGCCAUACAAUUGUACAUUCAACCCCAAAUCCCUAUAAUUGUCUGUGUGUUUGUGUUAAAUAGACUUAAUUCAUGGUUUACUUUGGCAGAGGCUUACAUAGAAGUUAGUUGAAUUGAAUAUUGUUUUCGAUUAAGGGUUGAAUUGAUUAUCGAUUUAUUUUCAGAAAAACUAGGUGAAAAUCUUGACUCUUGUGUUUUAAUAAGAAUUGUCAUUUUCUAUACUAAUAAAAUUUUAAUUAUUCAGUUAUAAAAACUCAUGAACUAGAGAUAUAUUAUUGAUGGUUAAAGUCUUAUGAAUUAUCCAGUACAGGUUUUUGGUUUGGUUGAAAUUUUCCAACUCAAAUUUCUAACAUUUUCGUCAUAAAGUGACAUAACAUUUUAUUUUUUUAAUGUUUUAAGGUGUGUUAGGUGAACAAUUAGAAAGAAAAUAAAUUUUAAAUUUGUUUGAUUAGAGAAAAAUGAGAGCAAAGAUUAAUAUUUUGUAUGUUUAUUAACGAGGGAAAAAAAUAAUCCUCAAUUUAAAAGAAAAGGAGAGACAAAAUGAAGAAGCGUUUUAAUUUUACACAUCUAUAAAAUUGUUCAUAUAAUAAAUGAAAGAAAAUAUUUUUUCUUAAAAAAAUUGUUAUAAGUACAAUAUAAUCAACGUUCAAUAUAAAUGUAAUCACUGCUACAAAUAAAUUGUUCGAGUAAUCAUAAAGUAAAAUCAAAUUAUUAUAACACAAACGGACUAAGGGUGGGUUUGGAUGGGUGGUGCGUUUACCUGCGGUUAGUGUAAAAACAGCGGUGGCGGUGAGAUUCUACUGUAGCGUAAGACAAAAAGUAAGCUAAACGCACCGCACCGCACCUAAUCGCCCAUCCAAACUCACCCUAAGAUCUAUUACAAUUUAGAGUAAAGCUAAUGAAUUGAACUAAAACACACACAUAACAACUGCACAUAAUAAAACUCGAAAAUCCAGACAAAUCCUCAAACACAUUAAUAAAAUAAUAUAAUGACAUUCAUUCAAACUAAAUAGUCACACAUCAUUCUCAAAACUUGAUAUUAAUCCAACAAUACAUUACCUUCCUCUAAACCAAUAAUAAAGCAAUAUUGAAGUCAAUGAAAGCAAACUUUGGAAGCUUCUCAGCACCUACAUCACUAGCAGCUUUUAUUAUUAAAUUUCCUUGUUGUGUAUAUAGUAUUAUGUACAUCAAAUAUGUAUUUUUAAAUUAAACAUAAAUCAUUUUUAGUUCAUAAUAAGCUAAAAACAUUGAAUAAGUAGAUAUUGGGCAUCUUCAUAUUUUUAGAAAAAGGAUUAUUUGAAACUGUAAUUCCACAUCAACUUUAUCCUUUUUCAAUAGAAGAAUGAUAAAUCAUAUUUUUUUCUCCAGAUAUUUAACAUUUUUAGUUGGAUUUGAAUUUUUUUCAAGAGGAAAAAGCUGAAUAUCAAGAGGAAAAAUCUAAUUUAUCUUUAUCAUAUUAGAAAAGAAUAGAAAUGACGUGGAAUCACAAUUUCAUACAAUCACUUCUCCAUUUUCUUAUCUCAUAAAACCUUGGGUAGAUUAGUAACUUUGAAAGCAACAAUCUACAUGAUACAAGAAGAAUAAUUAAAGAAUGAAUAUUGAAUUUAUAUCUAUAUAUAUAUUAAAUUAAAUGAGGUGAAAUUUUUUUUAUGCAAAAUAGAUAUAUUUAUUUAUAAGAUUAUAAAUGCUACCAUUGAGUUAGAAUAGUGGUUUUUUAUUUAUUUAAGUUUAAGCCAUGGUAUACGUAAAUAAUAUUUAUUAUUUUUAAAAAUAAUAAUUUUUAAAAUUUUCACAAUUAAAUUAUGUUUGGUUAAUUUGUACUACUAACUCAAUAAAAAAAUUAUAUUAGUAUAAGUAGGUAAUAAAUUUUUUCUUGAAAGCCAAAGUCAUUUAUAUAUACUAAAUUAUCACACACUUAUGAUGCGGGUAAAAUAUUUAUAUAACAAAAAUAUUUAUAAAAAAUUAAUUUAAGGAUUAAAUAAAAUUCUUAGUUGAAAUGAUAAACACCUAGAACAUUAUGGUGUUUUGAAUCCAAAAUUUCAAUUUGAAAUGAUAAAAAUAUUUCACUUUUUUUAGGUUUAAUAUAUUAUUUAGUAUUUGAGUUUGAUUUUAUUUUCUAACGUGGUACCUAUGUUAUUUUUUGUCCAAUAUAAUAUCUAUAUUUGAAAAAACCUAUAUAUUUUGGAACCCAAAAGUAAUUGUGUUAACUUUUUAGUGCUUAAUUCAGGUUUUAGGAUUAAGUUGAUGAAAAUUUAUAAUUAGCUAAUAAUUAAUAUUAGCAAUUAACUUUCACAAAAUUAACUCUAAAACCUGAAUUAAAUCACAUUAAUUGGACUAUAUUUGACAAAUUAAAGGUAAAAUUAAACAAAUUUAUAAUUAACGCUAAAUUUAUUCUAUUAACAAAAUUAUAAAAAAAUUAAAAUUAAUAAUAUUCGUAGUUAUCAAAAUAUAUAAUUUUUGUCAAAUAUAAAUACCAAAUUAUAUAAAAAACACAUAUUUGACAUUAGAAAAAAAUGUCAAACGUACAGACACUAAGUACAAAUAUAAUACUUUAAAAAUAUAAUUAUAAGAUAAGAAAAUAAUAAGGCGGCAAAAAGAAAAUAAGAAAAUAAUAUGAAUGAAGACAAGCUGCUAGGUACAUUUCCACCAUAUGGAGAAGCAAAUGCCCAAAGCAACCGCGUUAAUUUGACGACGUACGCGGCCACCACCUCACUAAUUCCCUAUAUAUAUACGCUUCUUUUUCUUCUUCUCCAUCCUAUCUUAUUCUUUCAUUAAUUCAUUCUCCAAACCAAACAAGUUCCCUCUAUUGUUGGGUUGUUGUCCUUGUUUUUCUUUUUCCAUGUCUGACAAACAAGCUCACCUUAAUGGUGCCUACUACGGCCCUUCAAUCCCACCACCUACAAGAACCUACCACCGUC
rnacentral:lncRNA from 1 species